rnacentral:rRNA from 1 species
GACGAACGCUGGCGGCGUGCUUAACACAUGCAAGUCGAACGGAAAGGCCCCUUGGGGGUACUCGAGUGGCGAACGGGUGAGUAACACGUGAGUAACCUGCCCUUGACUUCGGGAUAACUUCAGGAAACUGGGGCUAAUACCGGAUAGGAAUCCUUGCUGCAUGGUGGGGGUUGGAAAGCUUCGGCGGUUUUGGAUGGACUCGCGGCUUAUCAGCUUGUUGGUGGGGUAGUGGCUUACCAAGGCUUUGACGGGUAGCCGGCCUGAGAGGGCGACCGGCCACAUUGGGACUGAGAUACGGCCCAGACUCCUACGGGAGGCAGCAGUGGGGAAUAUUGCACAAUGGGCGGAAGCCUGAUGCAGCAACGCCGCGUGCGGGAUGACGGCCUUCGGGUUGUAAACCGCUUUCAGCAGGGGCGAAGCUUGUGGUGACGGUACCUGCAGAAGAAGCACCGGCUAACUACGUG